CCCCCCGUGAGAAUGCCCUAGCCCCCAAACUGAGGACAAGGAGCUGGUAUCAGGCACGCAGUACGCAUGCCCAUAACACCUUGCUAAGCCACACCCCCAAGGGAACACAGCAGUGAUAAAUAUUAAGCCAUGAGUGUAAACUUGACUUAGUUAAGGCUAAACAGGGCCGGUAAAACUCGUGCCAGCCACCGCGGUUAUACGAGCAGGCCCAAGUUAAUAGAACUACGGCACAAAGCGUGGUUAGAAAGCAUACCCUAAGUAAUAAAGUCGAAUGCCUUUAAAGCAGUAAAAUGCAUUUAAAAGUCGGAAGCCCUUCUACGAAAGUGACUUUAACCUCUUGAAUCCACGAAAGCUCAGACACAAACUGGGAUUAGAUACCCCACUAUGCUGAGCCCUAAACAUAGACAAAAUGUCCGCCGGGACACUACGAGCACUAGCUUAAAAUCCAAAGGAUUUGGCGGUACUUUACAUCCAUCUAGAGGAGCCUGUCCUAUAACCCGAUUCCACCCGUUCAACCUUACCUCUUCUUGUUUCCACCGCCUAUAUACCGCCGUCGUCAGCCUACCCUGCGAAGGCCUAAUAGAACGCUAAACUGGUAAAGCCCCAAACGUCAGGUCGAGGUGUAGCGAAUGAAGAGGGGAGAGAUGGGCUACAUUUUCUGCCCCAGAAAAUUACUGAUGGGGGAGAUGAAACGACCCCCUGAAGGCGGAUCUAGCAGUAAGCAAUAGAGCAGAGUGCUAAGCUGAAGUUGGUCAUAAAGUGCGUACACACCGCCCGUCACUCUCUCCUAAAAUUACAAGUCAUACAACUUAAUAAAAGUAUAUACAAUUUAAGGGGAGGCAAGUCGUAACAUGGUAAGUGUACCGGAAGGUGUACUUGGAAAA
rnacentral:ncRNA from 1 species